GUGAUAUCACCAACACAUGCAAAUAAUCCACAGAAGAACCAAAGGUACUACACAGAAACAACUCAAUAGAGAAUUUAACCUAGCAUUAAACCCAUCAAUCAAACAUGUCCAAUACAGUUUGCGGUUACGAGCAAUACAAGGAAAAAGAACCAUCCUCUUGUCUAACAUUGCAAAUAGCAAAGCAAGGGAAGGCUUUAACACAAACCUAGCUUAAACGAAAGUCUGAAGCUGAAUAGCAAAAACAAUUUGUAACUGACGAGAUUCUCCACCACCAAAAAUUCAAUUGGCCGUCACCUCAAGACUCAAAGUUGGGACCAGCCAAACGAGCUAUUGAUCCACCAAAUCUAGAACUGGAACCAUUUCCAAACAUCUAAAGCCGCACACAGUCACAAUUGAGUAAUAAUCUAACAGAC
rnacentral:lncRNA from 1 species